rnacentral:rRNA from 1 species
AGAACGAACGCUGGCGGCAUGCCUAACACAUGCAAGUCGAACGAGACCUUCGGGUCUAGUGGCGCACGGGUGCGUAACGCGUGGGAAUCUGCCCUUGGGUUCGGGAUAACAGUUGGAAACGACUGCUAAUACCGGAUAAUGACUUCGGUCCAAAGAUUUAUCGCCCAGGGAUGAGCCCGCGUAGGAUUAGCUAGUUGGUGAGGUGAAGGCUCACCAAGGCGACGAUCCUUAGCUGGUCUGAGAGGAUGAUCAGCCACACUGGGACUGAGGCACGGCCCAGACUCCUACGGGAGGCAGCAGUGGGGAAUAUUGGACAAUGGGCGAAAGCCUGAUCCAGCAAUGCCGCGUGAGUGAUGAAGGCCUUAGGGUUGUAAAGCUCUUUUACCCGGGAUGAUAAUGACAGUACCGGAGAAUAAGCCCGGCUAACUCCGCGCCAGCAGCCGC